rnacentral:tRNA from 1 species
GAGGGUAGAGCUCAGUGGUACAGUGUGUGCUUAGCAUGCAUGAGGUCCUGGGUUCAAUCCCCAGUGCUUCCA